UCCUACGGGAGGCAGCAGUGAGGAAUAUUGGUCAAUGGGCGGAAGCCUGAACCAGCCAAGUCGCGUGAAGGAUGAAGGUAUUAUGUAUUGUAAACUUCUUUAGCAGUGGAGAAAUAAGGGAGUCGAGACUCCUGAUGCUAGUACACUGAGAAUAAGGAUCGGCUAACUCCGUGCCAGCAGCCGCGGUAAAUACGGAGGAU
rnacentral:rRNA from 1 species